UACGAAGGGUGCAAACGUUAUUCGGAAUCACUGGGCGUAAAGGGUGCGUAGACGGCAUGUUAAGUUCGUUGUUAAAGGCUCCGGCCUAACCGGAGUACCGCGAUGAAAACUGGCGUACUAGAGGGUGAGAGAGAGAAGUGGAAUUCCUGGAGUAGCGGUAAAUGCGUGGAUCUCAGGAGGAACACCAAUGGCGAAGGCAGCUCUUGGCUCAUUCUGACGUUGAGGCACGAAGCGUGGGAGCAAACAGG
rnacentral:rRNA from 1 species